UUCCGUAGGUGAACCUGCGGAAGGAUCAUUGUCGAAACCUGCCCCCAAAGCAGAACGACCCGCGAACAUGUUCAAAUCACAUUCUUUAAGUCCGUCCCCGGACGAACUCGUUCGCUCGGUGGACGGCGCCUAACGAACCCCGGCGCGAACCGCGCCAAGGAAUACAUGAUCAUAAGCUCGAAAGAAGAAAGUGAAGUUGAGGAGUGUCGUCGCUCCUUCCUUCCUUCCUUCCUUCCGAGUGAAAAACACAAAACGACUCUCGACAACGGAUAUCUCGGCUCUCGCAUCGAUGAAGAACGUAGCAAAAUGCGAUACUUGGUGUGAAUUGCAGAAUCCCGUGAACCAUCGAGUCUUUGAACGCAAGUUGCGCCCGAAGCCUUUAGGCCGAGGGCACGUCUGCCUGGGCGUCACGCAUCGCGUCGCCCCCCGCCCACACCAUGGCAUACUUGUUUUUGGUUGGUUUGGGGAGCGGAUAUUGGCCUCCCGUGCCCCUCGCGGGCGCGGCUGGCUCAAAACGGAGUCCCCGACUGAGGACGCACGACAAGUGGUGGUUUGGUUUAUCUCAAAACUCGUCCAGUCGCGCGCAAGUCCCGCGUCGGUGUCGGCUCGAAACGACCCURUUAGCGCUGCCCGCUCCGUCCGAGAGGACGAAACCGAUCGGCGCAUCGACCGCGACCCCAGGUCAGGCGGGACUACCCGC
rnacentral:sRNA from 1 species